rnacentral:rRNA from 1 species
GACGAACGCUGGCGGCGUGCUUAACACAUGCAAGUCGAACGAUGAACCACUUCGGUGGGGAUUAGUGGCGAACGGGUGAGUAACACGUGGGCAAUCUGCCCUUCACUCUGGGACAAGCCC